rnacentral:rRNA from 1 species
CCUACGGGGGGCUGCAGUGGGGGAUAUUGCACAAUGGGGGGAACCCUGAUGCAGCGACGCCGCGUGAAGGAAGAAGGCUUUCGGGUUGUAAACUUCUUUUCUGAGGGACGAAGAAAGUGACGGUACCUCAGGAAUAAGCCACGGCUAACUACGUGCCAGCAGCCGCGGUAAUACGUAGGUGGCAAGCGUUAUCCGGAUUUAUUGGGUGUAAAGGGCGUGUAGGCGGGAAAGCAAGUCAGAUGUGAAAACUCAGGGCUCAACCCUGAGCCUGCAUUUGAAACUGUUUUUCUUGAGUGCUGGGGAGGCAAUCGGAAUUCCGUGUGUAGCGGUGAAAUGCGUAGAUAUACGGAGGAACACCAGUGGCGAAGGCGGAUUGCUGGACAGUAACUGACGCUGAGGCGCGAAAGCGUGGGGAGCAAACAGGAUUAGAUACCCCAGUAGUC